AUUGAACGCUGGCGGCAUGCCUUACACAUGCAAGUCGAACGGCAGCACGGGUGCUUGCACCUGGUGGAGAGUGGCGAACGGGUGAGUAAUACAUCGGAACGUACCUUAUCGUGGGGGAUAACGCAGCGAAAGCUGUGCUAAUACCGCAUACGCCCUGCGGGGGAAAGCGGUGGAUCGCAAGACCUCGCGCGCUUAGAGCGGCCGAUGCCUGAUUAGCUUGUUGGUGGGGUAAAAGCCCACCAAGGCGACGAUCAGUAGCUGGGCUGAGAGGACGGUCAGCCACACUGGGACUGAAAAACGGCCCCGACUCCUACGGGAGGCAGCAGUGGGGAAUUUGGGACAAUGGGGGCAACCCUGAUCCAACAAUGCCGCGUGGGUGAAGAAGGCCUUCGGGUUGCAAAGCUCUUUUGUCAGGGAAGAAACACCGGCUCUAACACAGUCCGGGAAUGACGGUACCUGAAGAGUAAGCACCGGCUAACUACGUGCCAGCCGCCGCAGUAA
rnacentral:rRNA from 1 species